rnacentral:misc_RNA from 1 species
UCCGGUUUAACACCGGCAGUCUCAUUAGAGUCCCCGACUUAACGCUGGUAACUAAUGACAAGGGUUUCGCUCGUUAAGGGACUUAACCCGACAUCUCACGACACGAGCUGACGACAGCCAUGCAGCACCUGUGGAAGUUUCACCCUUGCGGGCAGACUACACUGUUUCCAAUAAGUCAUCCAACCAUGUCAAACCCAGGUAAGGUUCUGCGCGUUGCUUCGAAUUGAUCCACAUACUCCACCGCUUGUGUGAGCCCCCGUCAAUUCCUUUGAGUUUUAGCCUUGCGACCGUACUUCCCAGGCGGCCUACUUAACACUUUUGCUUCGGCCGUAAAAGCGUCAGAGCUUCUACAACCUAGUAGGCAUCGUUUAGGGCGUGGACUA